rnacentral:lncRNA from 1 species
UGGAUUCUGCAUAUGAACCCCAUGUCCCUUUUUAUCACAUUUGUGUCAGUAAUAAUUCUGUACCUUUUGUCUUUUCAUAUAUUGAUCAGGUGUGUGGCUUGGAACAUCAGGAGCCAAGCAAGACCACACCUGCCAGCGAUCAUAUGAAAGAUACUGCUGAUGCACCCAGGGUAAUAUCUGUCCAGGCAUCUCAUUGUCAGAGUGACAACAGGUCUGCCAAGCCCCUCUGUGACAGCCUGGAUCAGCCACACCCGCACUUCAUCCAUAGAGCUCAGGUUGUCCAUGUACGAAGACGCCUUGCAGCCCCAGUCAGUUGGUCAGAGGAAGGAUGGCAACUUCUCCAGUGGGCACAAAAAUGAAGGACGUGACACGCUCCAGACCAAGAAGACCAAUGGGCAACUGUCAGGAAGACCCCAGCCACCGAAACAUUGAGCAUCUGCAUAGGACAUGAGGACACAGGCACGGCAGCCGAGGAGACUGAAGAUGGCCAGGCAGAUCAAUGGCACCCCUGCUGAGGAAACAAAGCAGCAACAAAUGAAAAAGUUCAGAUACCGCAGAAGACUCAAGAAGAAAACAACCAAAGAAAGGAACAAGAGCUCCACUGAGGACAUGUUAGUUUUGUGGCACAGAUUUCAAUUGGUCCUGUGCACAAUCAUAGUGAGUGGACAUUGUUCCAUCCCCAGUUAGGUUUAAGAGCGGGUUCCCUUUGGAACUCGUUUGGGGGGGGGUGUUAGUGUGGCAUGAACGUGGUUAGAGCAUUUGUCUCGGGAGCACAUCCGAAGCUACAGGUGGGUCACCAUUUUAUGGUUGCUUUACCAGGCUAUCGGGCUACAGUGCAUAAGUACCCGCCACAAGUAGCGCCUGAAGACUAGGGAGGAGCUUAGUUAGAUUUCAGUGUGUUGCUCUUCUACUGUAAAUAAAUGUUGUUCCUCACAAAACAUUUGGUGUUUCAGCAGUCAUUAUUUCCUAUAUUUACUUUUUCCUGAUUCCCUUUUGUAGAGGUAAACAGUUUUGGUC